AUGUAACAGAUGCAGGAAUUUCUCGUGAAUUACAUCACCACCAUUGCAUUUCAGUAUCCGCUGUUAGCAGAUCUGUUAUACGCAGAAAGAGUGACCAGUGGCGAGAGGGAGAAUUUGGAAAGACAGCAUGGCUGGAAGAUAAAGACAGACAAAGAAGUUGCACCCGUCCAAGACAUGCAUGCGCCGAUCAUGUUCUAUGCUAAAGCCAAACCUAGUAUGUUUUCAAAGGAUGUUCUGUCGGGGGAGGCAAAUUUUGGAACCUGAGGUGAGGCUUCUAUUCCGGAGACAUGAUUUCCAGCUAUUUACAUUUUCAUGAGCAUAAUGCCGGUAGAUCGCCUUCACAUUCUGAAGGCAUGAGAAAGCGGAUUCACCUUUCCAGCUCUUCAGGUCUCAUCAUUUUGCUUUUGGGCUGUAUUAUCCCGUUUACAAAACUCAGAUUUUGCGUAACACGACAAUGGAGGAGCACGUUGCAGCUACCGGAGGUGUGACCGUGCAACUGGAAGCAGAUAUCUCGGAGGAGUUUUUGAUUUUGAAUCUCUCGUGGAGAGUACACUCCAGCAACAACAUGAUGGAAUUCAGACAGUCCCAGUGACUGUUCAUGAUGUAUCGAACUCUUCUGAUUUGCCCUUUCUGUUGUAUGGUCAACAACAAUACAACGGGAGUGAGGAUCACUCUUUGUCCCAUGAAACCAACCUUCAAUUAGGUGAUCCGUUUCAGAAGCAUAAGAUGAUAUGCAGGUAUUGUGAGAAGGCGCCUGUAUUUUGUGUAGCAGUUUUCAUCACAUUCUUAUUCUUCAUGGUUGGGCUGCUAUUAGGAGCUGUAUUUUGUGGUGCCACAUUUUAUGUUCUAAAGAUUGGACAGGCUACACUCAGAAUCGAGAAACUAGAAGUUCGAGCAGAAGCUGCUAAUUCCGCUAACGGCUAACUCGCAGUUCAUUGCCACUGCUUCACGAGAAUCUGAACGACCGCAUAUGGUAUCCUUAAUAUCAGCCUGAUUCUACUGGAAAUGUCAUCUCUCUUGCGAUACAUGAUCCAGCCCCUUCCGAACAUCAAAUGCAUUAAUUUUUUCCUACAUGACUGCAGAAAAUCCUGGGCUGCUUCUAAACAUGGAGUCCAGUUCGACCAAAGGGGACUAUGCUUGUAAUCUCUGGCAUGCUGCAAUAUACUGAUAUCCUUGGUCCAUGAGUUGCUGAUGGGAAGAAACUGGAAAACCGCCAAAACCACAGUAACAUUCCUGAUAUUGGAAAUUUGAUCCUUUCAUUGCUGCUAUAUUCCUGCGGUCAGUCUGCUUGGUCCGCUGAAUGACAGAAUAAAAUCAUGCUAGAUGAUCAUUAAGGAAUCAACGUGAAUUUCACGAUUGCGUGCCACGACUUGGAUGAGGACUAUAAUUUUUUAUUUCCUGUUGAUUA